rnacentral:rRNA from 1 species
AGUGAACGCUGGCGGUAGGCCUAACACAUGCAAGUCGAACGGCAGCACAGUAAGAGCUUGCUCUUACGGGUGGCGAGUGGCGGACGGGUGAGGAAUACAUCGGAAUCUACUUUUUCGUGGGGGAUAACGUAGGGAAACUUACGCUAAUACCGCAUACGACCUACGGGUGAAAGCAGGGGAUCUUCGGACCUUGCGCGAUUGAAUGAGCCGAUGUCGGAUUAGCUAGUUGGCGGGGUAAAGGCCCACCAAGGCGAGGAUCCGUAGCUGGUCUGAGAGGAUGAUCAGCCAACAUGGAACUGAGACACGGUCCAGACUCCUACGGGAGGCAGCAGUGGGGAAUAUUGGACAAUGGGCGCAAGCCUGAUCCAGCCAUACCGCGUGGGUGAAGAAGGCCUUCGGGUUGUAAAGCCCUUUUGUUGGGAAAGAAAAGCAGCAGGUUAAUACCCCGCUGUUCUGACGGUACCCAAAGAAUAAGCACCGGCUAACUUCGUG